rnacentral:rRNA from 1 species
UACGUAGGGGGCAAGCGUUGUCCGGAUUUAUUGGGCGUAAAGAGCGUGUAGGCGGCCAGGUAGGUCAGCUGUGAAAACUCGAGGCUCAACCUCGAGACGCCGGCUGAAACCAUCUGGCUAGAGUCCGGAAGAGGAGAGUGGAAUUCCUGGUGUAGCGGUGAAAUGCGCAGAUAUCAGGAAGAACACCCGUGGCUAAGGCGGCUCCCUAGUACGGUACUGACGCUGAGACGCGAAAGCAUGGGGAGCGAACAGG